AGUAGACUCCGCUGUUCCCCGUCACUGACCAAACCAGCUCACCACCUGCCCAGGGGGAAAAGCAGUGAGUCAGGACAGUGAGGAGGCAGCAGGAACAUCUCCUGUCAAGUUCAGUGAUCACCGACCAACCGAACUGGGCAGGGGUCUUUCCAGCUCAAAAGUUCCUUCUUUGGGAACCAAUACAGUAGCAUUCCUGUUGCACUCCGCAGCUCCACUACCGAAUUCAGCACUUACUACCUGGCAUGGAGAAUUCACCACUGUACAGAGGACAGCAGCCUCGGCUAGGAAAACCAUCUCCAUAAUUGCAGGCCCAUCAGAAAACAGACUGAAAUUAUAUGUUGAAGCACAGUGGAAAUUUCCUCCUGCAUGUUUUAUGUAAACAAGUUCAUUUGUUCAUUCAAUGACUCCACAGUUCUUCAAAGGCUCUGUUUAUAAAAGAAAGAAGCAGAAAAAUUUGGAUUGGCUGGCAGCCAGCUCUACACCUACAGAACUGUCAAGCUGUUAG
rnacentral:lncRNA from 1 species